rnacentral:rRNA from 1 species
GAUGAACGCUGGCGGCGUGCCUAAUACAUGCCAGUCGAGCGAACAGACGAGGAGCUUGCUCCUCUGACGUUAGCGGCGGACGGGUGAGUAACACGUGGAUAACCUACCUAUAAGACUGGGAUAACUUCGGGAAACCGGAGCUAAUACCGGAUAAUAUAUUGAACCGCAUGGUUCAAUAGUGAAAGACGGUUUUGCUGUCACUUAUAGAUGGAUCCGCGCCGCAUUAGCUAGUUGGUAAGGUAACGGCUUACCAAGGCAACGAUGCGUAGCCGACCUGAGAGGGUGAUCGGCCACACUGGAACUGAGACACGGUCCAGACUCCUACGGGAGGCAGCAGUAGGGAAUCUUCCGCAAUGGGCGAAGGCCUGACGGAGCAACGCCGCGUGAGUGAUGAAGGUCUUCGGAUCGUAAAACUCUGUUAUUAGGGAAGAACAAAUGUGUAAGUAACUAUGCACGUCUUGACGGUACCUAAUCAGAAAGCCACGGCUAACUACGUG